AAUGAGGUGGGCAUGAAGUUC
rnacentral:siRNA from 1 species